CGAAGGUUAUUGAAAUACUUGAUUUGAUGACGCCAAUCCAAGGGACUUGAGUCGUGAUUUUGGAUUGAACGUUGAACUUGAUUUGAUUUGAGAAGAACGUCCUUAGAAUUUUGUAAGAACGCCUUGAAGCUUUGGGACUUGGUUGAUUUGAUUUGAGGAAGAUCGUUCUUGGAAUUUGUAAGAACGCCUUGAAGCUUUCGAACUUGAUUUCUUUGGAUACUUGAAGAUCACUUCAAAGAUUUGCAGGAAUACUUGAAGAAUUUGAAGGAUACUUGAUGAAUACUCGAAGACUUGAUAGAAUUCUUUGAACUCCUCAAUCUUCCACUUCAACUUGUGAUACUAGAGAGAAUUCUUUA